rnacentral:rRNA from 1 species
CAGGACGAACGCUGGCGGCGUGCCUAACACAUGCAAGUCGAGCGAUGAAGCCCUUCGGGUGGAUUAGCGGCGGACGGGUGAGUAACACGUGGGUAACCUGCCUCAAAGAGGGGGAUAGCCUCCCGAAAGGGAGAUUAAUACCGCAUAACAUUAUUUCUUCGCAUGAAGAGAUAAUCAAAGGAGUAAUCCGCUUUGAGAUGGACCCGCGGCGCAUUAGCUAGUUGGUGAGGUAAUGGCUCACCAAGGCGACGAUGCGUAGCCGACCUGAGAGGGUGAUCGGCCACAUUGGAACUGAGAUACGGUCCAGACUCCUACGGGAGGCAGCAGUGGGGAAUAUUGCGCAAUGGGGGAAACCCUGAACCGCAGCAACGCCGCGUGGGUGAAGAAGGCCUUCGGGUUGUAAAGCUCUGUCUUCUGGGACGAUAAUGACGGUACCAGAGGAGGAAGCCACGGCUAACUACGUGCCAGCCGCCGC